AUGGCACGCUGCAUACUCAAGGCAAAGCAGGUGCCGAGCACGUACUGGGGGGAGGCCGUGCUCACAGCCGUCUUCAUCCUCAACCGCUCUUUCACAAGGAGUGUCGACGGCAAGACACCUUACGAGGCGUGGUAUGGGAGGAAGCUCGACAUACGCUUCCUCUGCACCUUUGGUUGCGUCGGGCACGUCAAGAGGACGCGCCCUCAGGUGAAGAAGCUCGACGACAGGAGCACCCCGAUGGUGUUCAUGGGCUACGAGACGGGCUCCAAGGCGUACAAGAUGUACGACCCUGUCGCGAAGCGUGUGCAUGUCUCGUGUGACGUCAUCUUUGACGAAGACACGCGAUGGACUUGGGAGGCGUCGGGGGAGUCCCCAGCAAGCAGCUCCUUCACCGUGGAGUACCCGAUGUACUCUACAACCCCGGGAAGCAAGACCCCGGGAAGCCCGGCAGGUGUGGAUCCGGGAACUGCAACCCCAAGAACACCGUCCCCAAGCACAGCAUCCCCAGACACCCUGUCGUCAAGCAAGGUGGUUCCCGGGAGGCUGUUUGCAACCCCGCCAACAGCAAGGUUGGGGUUGUUCGACGCCGACGAUGGCGUUGGCGCCCCCCACAUGUUUCGACGCAUGGGGGAUCUCCUCGGCGAGGCUGCGGCAACACCGCAACAGCCCAAGGACGAAGACAUUGAUGACGACGACGUCCUGCAUCUGAUGGCCGGCGAGGAGCCAACCACGUUCGCGGAGGCCGAGCAAGAGGAUUGCUGGUGCCGCGCGACGAGCUGGCGUCGAUCAACGACAACGCCACUUGGACACUCACCACUUUACCUGUUGGGCAUCGAGCCAUCGGGCUUAAGUGGGUGUUCAAGGUGA
rnacentral:rRNA from 1 species